UGGGGAAUAUUGCACAAUGGGCGAAAGCCUGAUGCAGCGACGCCGCGUGAGGGAUGACGGCCUUCGGGUUGUAAACCUCUUUCGACAGGGACGAAGCGUAAGUGACGGUACCUGUAGAAGAAGCACCGGCCAACUACGUGCCAGCAGCCGCGAUAAUACGUAGGGUGCGAGCGUUGUCCGGAAUUACUGGGCGUAAAGAGCUUGUAGGCGGUUUGUCGCGUCGUCUGUGAAAACUCACAGCUCAACUGUGAGCUUGCAGGCGAUACGGGCAGACUUGAGUACUGCAGGGGAGACUGGAAUUCCUGGUGUAGCGGUGAAAUGCGCAGAUAUCAGGAGGAACACCGGUGGCGAAGGCGGGUCUCUGGGCAGUAACUGACGCUGAGAAGCGAAAGCGUGGGUAGCGAACAGGAUUAGAUACCCUGGUAGUCCACGCCGUAACGGUGGGUACUAGGUGUGGGUUUCCUUCCACGGGAUCCGUGCCGUAGCUAACGCAUUAAGUACCCCGCCUGGGGAGUACGGCCGCAAGGCU
rnacentral:rRNA from 1 species